rnacentral:rRNA from 1 species
UAGAAAGAAAAUAUUCAGUCCCUGAAUGCACCCAAUCUUGUCUGAUCUUGGAAGCUAAGCAGGGUCAGACCCGGUUAGUACUUGAAUGGGAGAAAAUAUUCAACUUUUCAAC